UCUCACUACAUUCAAAACCAUCAUUAAAAUCUCAUGUUAUUUUUUGUUCAGCCACCAUUUUCUGGCCAAUGAUUUACAAAAAAGAGCAUAGGAAGAAGCAGGAGGGAAGUUGUCAGAUGGAACUGAAAUAAUUAACUUGAAGGUAGAAAAGAGAUAAGAUGAGCAUGUUCUGGUGGGUGAGAUAGAAGUGAUGUGUGUAAUGAAUCAGAGCUGGAAGCACAUUUUCCGUGUGCUUAUUGGCCAUUUGUAUAUCUUCUUUGGAGAAAUGUCUGUUCAAGUCGUUUGCCCAUUUUUGAAUUGGGUAGUUUGUUUUCCAUUGUUGUUGGGAU
rnacentral:lncRNA from 1 species